rnacentral:rRNA from 1 species
UUUUCAUCAGACAAUCUGUGUGAGCACUGCAAAGUACGCUUCUUUAAGGUAAGGAGGUGAUCCAACCGCAGGUUCCCCUACGGUUACCUUGUUACGACUUCACCCCAGUCAUGAAUCACAAAGUGGUAAGCGCCCUCCCGAAGGUUAAGCUACCUACUUCUUUUGCAACCCACUCCCAUGGUGUGACGGGCGGUGUGUACAAGGCCCGGGAACGUAUUCACCGUGGCAUUCUGAUCCACGAUUACUAGCGAUUCCGACUUCAUGGAGUCGAGUUGCAGACUCCAAUCCGGACUACGACGCACUUUAUGAGGUCCGCUUGCUCUCGCGAGGUCGCUUCUCUUUGUAUGCGCCAUUGUAGCACGUGUGUAGCCCUGGUCGUAAGGGCCAUGAUGACUUGACGUCAUCCCCACCUUCCUCCAGUUUAUCACUGGCAGUCUCCUUUGAGUUCCCGGCCGGACCGCUGGCAACAAAGGAUAAGGGUUGCGCUCGUUGCGGGACUUAACCCAACAUUUCACAACACGAGCUGACGACAGCCAUGCAGCACCUGUCUCACGGUUCCCGAAGGCACAUUCUCAUCUCUGAAAACUUCCGUGGAUGUCAAGACCAGGUAAGGUUCUUCGCGUUGCAUCGAAUUAAACCACAUGCUCCACCGCUUGUGCGGGCCCCCGUCAAUUCAUUUGAGUUUUAACCUUGCGGCCGUACUCCCCAGGCGGUCUACUUAACGCGUUAGCUCCGGAAGCCACGCCUCAAGGGCACAACCUCCAAGUAGACAUCGUUUACGGCGUGGACUACCAGGGUAUCUAAUCCUGUUUGCUCCCCACGCUUUCGCACCUGAGCGUCAGUCUUUGUCCAGGGGGCCGCCUUCGCCACCGGUAUUCCUCCAGAUCUCUACGCAUUUCACCGCUACACCUGGAAUUCUACCCCCCUCUACAAGACUCAAGCCUGCCAGUUUCGAAUGCAGUUCCCAGGUUGAGCCCGGGGAUUUCACAUCCGACUUGACAGACCGCCUGCGUGCGCUUUACGCCCAGUAAUUCCGAUUAACGCUUGCACCCUCCGUAUUACCGCGGCUGCUGGCACGGAGUUAGCCGGUGCUUCUUCUGCGGGUAACGUCAAUUGCUGCGGUUAUUAACCACAACACCUUCCUCCCCGCUGAAAGUACUUUACAACCCGAAGGCCUUCUUCAUACACGCGGCAUGGCUGCAUCAGGCUUGCGCCCAUUGUGCAAUAUUCCCCACUGCUGCCUCCCGUAGGAGUCUGGACCGUGUCUCAGUUCCAGUGUGGCUGGUCAUCCUCUCAGACCAGCUAGGGAUCGUCGCCUUGGUGAGCCGUUACCUCACCAACAAGCUAAUCCCAUCUGGGCACAUCUGAUGGCAAGAGGCCCGAAGGUCCCCCUCUUUGGUCUUGCGACGUUAUGCGGUAUUAGCCACCGUUUCCAGUAGUUAUCCCCCUCCAUCAGGCAGUUUCCCAGACAUUACUCNNNNNNNNNNNNNNNNNNNNCCCGUCCGCCACUCGUCAGCAAAGCAGCAAGCUGCUUCCUGUUACCGUUCGACUUGCAUGUGUUAGGCCUGCCGCCAGCGUUCAAUCUGAGCCAUGAUCAAACUCUUCAAUUUAAAAGUUUGAUGCUCAAUGAAUUAAACUUCGUAAUGAAUUACGUGUUCACUCUUGAGACUUGGUAUUCAUUUUUCGU